UACGAAAGGGGCUAGCGUUGUUCGGAAUUACUGGGCGUAAAGCGCACGUAGGCGGCCUUGUAAGUUGGGGGUGAAAUCCCGGGGCUCAACUCCGGAACUGCCUUCAAGACUGCAAAGCUAGAGGACGCGAGAGGUUAGCGGAAUUCCGAGUGUAGAGGUGAAAUUCGUAGAUAUUCGGAAGAACACCAGUGGCGAAGGCGACUAACUGGCGCGUUUCUGACGCUCAGGCACGAAAGCGUGGGGAGCAAACAGG
rnacentral:rRNA from 1 species